rnacentral:rRNA from 1 species
CCUACGUGAGGCAGCAGUGGGGAAUAUUGCACAAUGGGGGGAACCCUGAUGCAGCAACGCCGCGUGGGUGAAGAAGUACUUCGGUAUGUAAAGCCCUGUCAGCAGGGAAGAAAAUGACGGUACCUGACUAAGAAGCCCCGGCUAACUACGUGCCAGCAGCCGCGGUAAUACGUAGGGGGCAAGCGUUAUCCGGAUUUACUGGGUGUAAAGGGAGCGUAGACGGCAAGGCAAGUCUGGAGUGAAAGCCCGUGGCCCAACCACGGGACUGCUUUGGAAACUGUGUUGCUGGAGUGCAGGAGGGGUAAGCGGAAUUCCUAGUGUAGCGGUGAAAUGCGUAGAUAUUAGGAGGAACACCAGUGGCGAAGGCGGCUUACUGGACUGUAACUGACGUUGAGGCUCGAAGGCGUGGGGAGCAAACAGGAUUAGAUACCCCAGUAGUC